GGUCGGCCUGGGGAGGGGAGGGCCCGGGACUCACCCCGGGGUGGGCACACUAGGGGAGCUCUAGGGGAGGCCCACCUGGGGUAGGCCCACCUGGGAGAGGACCCCCUGGGAGAGGCCCACCCACGAGAGUCCCACGUGGGAGAGUGGAAUUCCACCCGGGAGAGGCCCACCUGGGAGAGGACCCCCUGAGAGAGGACCGCCUGGGAGAGGCCCACCUGGGAGAGUGGAAUUCCACCCGGGAGAGGCCCACCUGGGAGAGGACCCCCUGAGAGAGGACCGCCUGGGAGAGGCCCACCUGGGAGAGUGGAAUUCCACCCAGGAGAGGCCCACCUGGGAGAGAACCCCCUGAGAGAGGACCGCCUGGGAGAGGCCCACCUGGGAGAGUGGAAUUCCACCCGGGAGAGGCCACCAUACCUACAUGGGAUCAAAUAAGCUGCCUGGACAUAGUUUUGAAACCUGAACGUCGUAUGUUUCUCAGGCUCCUAGAGCCCCACCCCGUCUUGAAGUUGGCAGCCUCAGAUCCCUGCUAAAUGACCAUAUUCCUUCCCAAAGACAGUUCUCAGAUGGGCCUUUGUUGGUAAAGACACUCCACACAUGGGUACAGCCUCGAUAAAAUAUUUAUCCCCUCAGAGAAAGUAUAUCCAAACAUAAUGUAGUAAGAGAUUUCCCAAAUCCAAGGGCAUUAAAUAUUAAAACUCAGUUUUCUAGUUACACAUUAGCCUUAAAUAUCAAGAGUGCAACACAAAAUUAUCACAGAACGCAGGAAAAGGAGAUGAGAAAGGCCGCAGAUGGGCAGCCAGGUGGGCCGGGGCACAGGGCAGGGUCGGAAAGGGUCCCCAGCCCAGGAGCUUCUGUGUCCGUGGAGUGGGGGGCACCACCCUCCUGGCCCGUGGAUGUGUUCAGCAACCUGGAACUGCUCGGGACCCAUAGUCCAGGCAUUCUUAUGGAGGCUCCAUCGCAGACAUGAAGGAUGAUGGUGGAUGAUCCCUGGAGGAGGGUGGGUGCAGGGUUGAGAGCUGCAGGUGCUAAUCCUGGCUGGUCUCUCUGGUGACUGGACCCCCUCCAGGAGCCACCAAGCCUCACCUCAUUUGAAUGGAAGAAUCUGCUGCCAUCACCCAGGAAAUUCGAGGGCUUUUGGAGCCCUGUGCGGGGUCUCGGGAGCAGAGACCAGAUCUAUUCAUUUCUCAUUUCAUCACCCCAUCUUGCCAGGUGAAAGCCAGGAAGAUGGGUGAAUUGUUGUUUAAAACAUCUCAGAAUAUAUACAUGAGCAGAAUGAGCAGAACAGAAGUUAAAGAUAGAGCUUCUUCCAGCGCAGAAAUGGCAGUUGCAUCAUACCUGUUUAGCAUCAUGGCUUCCAGCUAACUACCCAUCCAUUCACUGGAAGAUAUUUUUGAAGCCUUGCUGUGUCAUUAGAGCAGAGCCUCGUUCUGAACUCCUGGUCCAGCAGGCCCUGCUGCAGAGGCUGCUGCAGCUCAUGGCACACUUGGACAGCGGCAGCACUCUCUUCUCUGAGGCCUCUCUCUUCAACGUUUUGUAAGACUGUAUUUGCAUGUUUAUUUUUAUGUAAAUGCUGAAACAUCUGGUCUAGUUUAAAAAAUAAACACAAAACACAGCCAAAAGCACACUGUUGGCAUUUUCUCCGGUACAGGUUGAUUUAAAGAGAACUGCCGUAAGACCGUGUGUCUUCUGAUCCAGCCGCAGUGGGCUUUCUCACUCGCUUGCCUUCGGUGUGCAUCUGCUUGCUAAUACUAAGAAUUUGUGCCUCGAUAUUGAUAAGGAAGGUGAUUCUGUGAUAUUUUCAAACAAACAAUGUGGAAGCUUGAUCUUUCCUUCUGUGCUCCUGAACUGGUUCAUAGCAUUGUAAUUACAUGUUCCUUAAGGUUUGCGAGAACUUGUAAGGUGGACUUUUCUUUCUCAUUUGGAGCAAGUGUGUAUAUGUAUGUGUGUGUGUGGGUACG
rnacentral:lncRNA from 1 species